rnacentral:rRNA from 3 species
UGGCGGCAGGCCUAACACAUGCAAGUCGAGCGGAAACGAGUUAUCUGAACCUUCGGGGAACGAUAACGGCGUCGAGCGGCGGACGGGUGAGUAAUGCCUAGGAAAUUGCCCUGAUGUGGGGGAUAACCAUUGGAAACGAUGGCUAAUACCGCAUGAUGCCUACGGGCCAAAGAGGGGGACCUUCGGGCCUCUCGCGUCAGGAUAUGCCUAGGUGGGAUUAGCUAGUUGGUGAGGUAAGGGCUCACCAAGGCGACGAUCCCUAGCUGGUCUGAGAGGAUGAUCAGCCACACUGGAACUGAGACACGGUCCAGACUCCUACGGGAGGCAGCAGUGGGGAAUAUUGCACAAUGGGCGCAAGCCUGAUGCAGCCAUGCCGCGUGUGUGAAGAAGGCCUUCGGGUUGUAAAGCACUUUCAGUCGUGAGGAAGGUAGUGUAGUUAAUAGCUGCAUUAUUUGACGUUAGCGACAGAAGAAGCACCGGCUAACUCCG